UCGAGAAGGGGUGUGGAGAGGAGACGGUAGCUCCGCGGGGCAGCAAAACUACAACUCCCAGAGGAGCCAGGGCGUCUCCAAGACAGAACGCGUUUCCUGAGGCUCGAGUUCUAGGCUUGGGAUGUGUCCAUUUGUUUAACCCCGGGGCCGGGGAGUCCUGAGGGUGCGGCGGAGCGGGCCGCACCUCUGCUCCGCAGAGGCAGAAAUCAAACUCGGAGAAACAACCCACAGGCGUUGUCCCAGCGUAAGCGACCACCGUCCGAUUGGCAAUUGACCAGGCUUGCACGGUUCCCUGACCAGGAACGGAACCUGUGCCGCUGCAGUGGAAACGUGGCGUCCUAACCACUGGACUGACAGGGAAGUCUCUGGUAUGGUUUUAAAUAAUCGAAAUCCAGACCUGAUAGGAUAACAAAAUAGGUAACCCUUUCUGGAGAGCUAUUAAGUGUACUUUAUCAUUAAGUGGCCAUCUUCCCCAAAGCCUGACUUGCCUUUUCCAAAUAUCUUAUGCAGCAUUUUCCAAAGAGUGCUGCUAUAGGAUGUGUAUAUAUCUAUAUACAUGCUAUAGGAUGUACAUAUAUACAUAUAUAUGUAUAUAUAUUCUAUAGGAUGUGAUUAUAUAUUAAUAGUAGGAUAUAGUAGGAUGGCAACCCACUCCAGGAUUCUUGCCUGGGAAGUCCCAUGGACAGAGGAACCUGGUGGACUAUAAUCCAUGGAGUCACCAAGAGUCAGACACGAUUUAGCAACUAAACAACAACACAGGAUGUUAACAAGUGUUGCUUCAGAAGAGCUACAGAUCCACUAAAUAAAGGUAAACGGGUUUAUUUUAUCCCCACAACUUUAAAAUAAACAGAGUGAGUAAGCAAAAUGUGUAUAUAUGUGUGUGUGUGUGUGUGUGUGUGUGUAUAUAUGUAUAUAUAUAUGCAUACAAUGAAAUACUACUCAACCAUAAAAUAAUGAGAUAUUAAUGCAUACUGCAACACGGAUGAAUUGAAAAUAUGGAAAAUGAAAGAACUCAGGCAAAAACUACUAAAUAUUUUAUGAUUCCAUUUAUAUGAAGUGUUCAAAAUAGUUAAAUCCAUAGAGACAGAAAGCAAGCUCAGUUGCCAGGGGUUGGGGGUGGGAAGAAUGGGGAGUGAUCGCUUAAUGGGUACAGGGUUUUCUUGUGAGGUGAAGAAAAGGUUUUGGAACUAGAGGUACUGGUUUCUAGACAUUGUGAAUGCACUAAAUACGCUGAAUUGUAUGCUUUAUCAUAGUUAAUUUUAUGUUCUGUGAAUUUCACCUCAAUUUAAACAAAACAGCACUGAGGGACUUCCGUGGAAGUCCAGUGGUUAAGACUCUGCAUUUUCAGUGCAGGGGUCAUGGGUUUGAUCCCUGCUUGGGGAACUAAGAUCCUACAUGCCGCACAGCCAGAAAAUGUUAAAACAAUCAAACAAACAAUGACACGUUUAGUGUGCUUGUUGCUAAUGGGGUGUCAUUGCUCCCAGGUCUUCUCAGUGGACAGGUACAGAGCUAGGGAAAAACAAUUCCUAUAUGCAUGGGGAACCUCUAGGCUAAGCUAUAAAGCAUUUCACAAACAUGUUAAGGAAUCCUUUUUUCAGGCCAUGCCUGUGGCUGUGGGAAUCUUAGUUCCCCGACCAGGGACUGAGCCUUGGCAGUGAAAGCUUAGAGUCUCAAUCCCUGGGACUGUUUAUAUAUAGUUUCUCUGAGCUGAGCCUUAGUUUAUAUGCCAGAUCAAUGGUCUCCAUGGAUAUAAUUGACAGUACACUUUUUAAAAAGUUAAUACUUUUAAGGUCUGUCAGAGUGCUUCACAAGGUCUCAAGCUCCAAGAAGACAGGGUUCAGUUCUUCAAUUUCAGUCAUUUUCACAAUGCCUGCCAAUGUGCUUUGUACAUAAUGUGUAGCAGACAUUCUGUGGAUGACUUUGGAUAAACCACAUUAUCUUGUUGAGCUGUCUGCCGAUCUAGUUCUGCCAGAGGCCAAGAAAUAGUUAAUCUGAUCAGUAUUUCUGGAAGGUCUGUUUGGACCUACAAAAGCCCCUCCUCUACUCUCCAAAAGUCUGUUAUCUAGUGAAGUAAUGAUAACAAAAGGGCUUCGCCUGGUGACUUAGUGGUAAAGAAUCCUCUUGCAAUGCAGGAGACAUGGGUUCAUUCCCUGGGUCAGGAAGAUCCCCUUGGAGGAGGGCAUAGCAAACCACUGCAGUAUUCUUGCCAGGGAAGUCCAAUGGACAAAGGAGCCUGGCGGGCUACAGUUUAUAGGGUUGCAAAGAGUUGGAGAUAACUGAAGUGCGUAAGCAGGAGCGAUAACAAUUGACACCAUCAAUUGAAGCUUCCCCAGUUCCAUUCAUUUAAUCUUUAAUCUGGAUCAACAACAUUUAGAUCAUCUUUAAUCUUUUUUCUUACAAUGCUUUAACAAAUAUCCAUCUCUAUAUGUAAUUAAGAACAUGUGCAGAUAGGAUACCUCCUUAGAAAUUACUAGGUCAAAUAGUGUGUGCGUGUGUAAUUUGAAGACAUUACCAAGUUGCUCUUCGCAGAGGCCAUAUGGAUUUCCAACCACAUUGGCAGUGUACGACAAUCCUUGUUCCCCGUACUCUUUCCAAGAUAGCUAUCAAGGUUUUUGAUCUUUGCCAAUCUGAUAGGUGAAAAAUGAUAUCUCGGUGUGGUUGUAAUUUGCAUUUCUUUUAUUAUUACAAGUGAAACUCAGAAAAUAAGUGUCAGAAUGUGGAAGAACUGGAAUCCUUGUAUACUGCUGGUGGGAAUAUAAAAUGGUACAGCUACUAUGGAAAACAUUAUGAUGGUUGCUCAAAAAAUUAAAGGCGGAAUUAUCAUAUGAUCCAGGAAUUUCACUUUUGGUAUACAUCCAAAGGCACUGAAACCAGGAACCCAAAGAGAUAUUUGUAAACCCGUGUUCAGAGCAUCUUUGUUCACAAUAGCCAAAAGAUGGAAACAACCCAAGUGUCCAUCAACAGAUGAAUGGAUAAAAUGUGGUACAUAUCAGUGUAUACAAUAGAAUAUUAUUCAGCCUACAAAAAGAAGGAAA